ACCAUGUUGGUCCAAUCGGUCAGGACAUUACAAGGUUACUGUAGUUGCCGGGGUUUGAAUCCCCGACGUGGCA